UAGGGAAUCUUCGGCAAUGGACGAAAGUCUGACCGAGCAACGCCGCGUGAGUGAAGAAGGUUUUCGGAUCGUAAAACUCUGUUGUUAGAGAAGAACAAGGACGUUAGUAACUGAACGUCCCCUGACGGUAUCUAACCAGAAAGCCACGGCUAACUACGUGCCAGCAGCCGCGGUAAUACGUAGGUGGCAAGCGUUGUCCGGAUUUAUUGGGCGUAAAGCGAGCGCAGGCGGUUUCUUAAGUCUGAUGUGAAAGCCCCCGGCUCAACCGGGGAGGGUGAUUGGAAACUGGGAGACUUGAGUGCAGAAGAGGAGAGUGGAAUUCCAUGUGUAGCGGUGAAAUGCGUAGAUAUAUGGAGGAACACCAGUGGCGAAGGCGGCUAUCUGGUCUGUAACUGACGCUGAGGCUCGAAAGCGUGGGGAGCAAACAGG
rnacentral:rRNA from 1 species